UACGGAGGGUGCAAGCGUUAUCCGGAUUCACUGGGCUUAAAGGGUGCGUAGGCGGACCGGUAAGUCAGUGGUGAAAUCUCUGGGCUUAACUCAGAAACUGCCGUUGAUACUAUUUGUCUUGAAUGUCAUGGAGGUAAGCGGAAUAUGUCAUGUAGCGGUGAAAUGCUUAGAUAUGACAUAGAACACCGAUAGCGAAGGCAGCUUACUAGAUGAAGAUUGACGCUGAGGCACGAAAGCGUGGGGAGCAAACAGG
rnacentral:rRNA from 1 species